rnacentral:rRNA from 1 species
GUCUAUAGCCAUACCAUCCUCAAUGUGUCUGAUGUCAUCUGAUCUUGGAAGCUAAGUAGGGUUGGGCCUGGUUGGUACUUGGAUGGGGGACCACCUGGGAAUUCCAGGUGCUGUUGGCU